AAUUUUUGACAAUGGGGGAAACCCUGAUCCAGCCAUCCCGCGCGUAUGAUGAAGGCCUUCGGGUUGUAAAGUACUUUUGGUUGAGAGGAAAAGGUAUCUCCUAAUACGGGAUACUGCUGACGGGAUCUGCAGAAGAAGCACCGGCUAACUACGUGCCAGCAGCGGCGGUAAUACGUAGGGUGCAAGCGUUAAUCGGAAUUACUGGGCGUAAAGCGUGUGUAGGCGGUUCGGAAUGAAAGAUGUGAAAUCCCAGGGCUCAACCUUGGAACCGCAUUUUUAACUGCCGAGCUAGAGUAUGUCAGAGGGGGGUAGAAUUCCACGUGUAGCAGUGAAAUGCAUAGAUAUGUGGAGGAAUACCGAUGGCGAAGGCAGCCCCCUGGGAUAAUACUGACGCUCAGACACGAAAGCGUGGGGAGCAAACAGG
rnacentral:rRNA from 1 species